rnacentral:rRNA from 1 species
UACGGUGGCGAAAGCAAGAAGGAUACACCUGUUCCCAUGCCGAACACAGAAGUUAAGCUUCUUAA